rnacentral:rRNA from 1 species
AUUGAACGCUGGCGGCAUGCCUUACACAUGCAAAUCGAACGGUAACGGGCCUUCGGGUGCCGACGAGUGGCGUACGGGUGAGUAAUACAUCGGAACGUUCCCUAUCGUGGGGGCUAACGAGGCGUAAGCUUUUCUAAUACCGCAUACGAUCUACGGAUGAAAGCAGGGGACCGCAAGGCCUUGCGCGGACGGUGCGGCCGAUGGCAGAUUAGGUAGUUGGUGGGAUAAAAGCUUACCAAGCCGUCGAUCUGUAGCUGGUCUGAGAGGAUGAUCAGCCACACUGGGAGUGAGACACGGCCCAGACUCCUACGGGAGGAAGCAGUGGGGAAUUUUGGAGAAUGGGCGCAAGACUGAUCCAGCCAUGCCGCGUGCAGGAUGAAGGACUUCGGGUUGUAAACUGAUUUUGUACGGAGCGAAAAGCGUUCUUUUAAUACAGGAGGGUCAUGACGGUACCGGAAGAAUAAGCACCGGCUAACUACGUG